GGUCGGUUGGCCGAACGGUUAGGCAACGGUCUGCAAAACCGUGUAAAGCAGUUCGACUCUGCUACCGACCU
rnacentral:tRNA from 1 species